CAUCUGACCCACUGUGUAGAGAGUUGCAACUUGUUAUGGAGCGAAUUAGAGAUAAAGAUGGAAACACUGAAUUGAAGGAUGUGAAGAAAGUGUUGCUGAUGAAUUCAAAACAAGAUUUUCCCCUUGGUCGGCAGCACGAUGCAGCAGAUUUUGUCACAUGGCUACUGAGUUUAGAACCUCACCCAAGUCCAUUUCAUGUAGAAAUGUCACAUAUUCGUGAAUGAAUGGAAUGCAAAGAGAUCCAUAGGAUGAAUGAAGAAACCAACAUGUUGCUGUUCGAAAUGCCUCAAAGAAGUUUGUUGACAUUUAUGCAUUUGACAUCAAUUUGUACAAAUUAUGCUCCUAGAAUCAACAAUGGCCGCACCCUAUAGGCUUUGCACUUCUUGCAACAAUCGUACAUGGUCAAUCAUGAGUUAUGAGUUUGAGGCAGUUAACUCUCCAUUCAUCAUGGUUUAGAUGAAAAGAUUCCAGAGGCUUGGAGAUAGACAUUCUAAAGUUCUUAGUCGCGUGCACUUA